UACGGGGGGGGCAAGCGUUGUUCGGAAUUACUGGGCGUAAAGGGCUCGUAGGCGGCCAACUAAGUCAGACGUGAAAUCCCUCGGCUUAACCGGGGAACUGCGUCUGAUACUGGAUGGCUUGAAUCCGGGAGAGGGAUGCGGAAUUCCAGGUGUAGCGGUGAAAUGCGUAGAUAUCCGGAGGAACACCGGUGGCGAAGGCGGCUUCCUGGACCGAUACUGACGCUGAGGCGCGAAAGCUAGGGGAGCAAACGGG
rnacentral:rRNA from 1 species